CACUAAGAAAGCAACCUUGACCCUGACUCAACUGAUCAGCUGAGGUCGUGAGAUGAUGUGUAAGCCGGUCUACAAGGCAGGAUGAUAAGCCUGUUCAUGAAUACUUCCUCUACAUUCUAAAGCAAGUCCUCCUUUGCUCCUAGGCUUAAUGAGAGAGACACACACAGAGUAUGAAUGGG